rnacentral:rRNA from 1 species
UACGAAGGGGGCUAGCGUUGUUCGGAAUUACUGGGCGUAAAGCGCACGUAGGCGGAUUUGUAAGUCAGGGGUGAAAUCCCGGGGCUCAACCUCGGAACUGCCUUUGAUACUGCAAAUCUCGAGUCCGGAAGAGGUGAGUGGAAUUCCUAGUGUAGAGGUGAAAUUCGUAGAUAUUAGGAAGAACACCAGUGGCGAAGGCGGCUCACUGGUCCGGUACUGACGCUGAGGUGCGAAAGCGUGGGGCGCAAACAGU